CCUUUCCCCUUUUCCCUUUAAUUAUUACAUAACUUUUCGGAGUUCUCGAUCGAUUAUUGCUUUCAUUACUUGGGUGAUCAAAGUUUGGGAAUCGCACUACUUAGUUCCGGUAAUCUAUAUUGCCAUGUAAAAAGCUUGAUUCUUGAUCACUGAGGCGUUCUUGUUGUUGCUACUAGAUGAGAUUCCUAUCGAAAAUUCUAAGUCCUUGGCUACUACUUGUGGUUGUUCUACACAUGAUGCAAGAUAAGGUGUUGGGGUGUUGAGGUAUAUGCGUUGUCAUCCUUGGGGCUUGUGGAGGCCGAAAAUCGAGAAGGAUGGGAAUGAGGGAAACACUUAGAUUUAGUUGCUCUAUUUGGCUAGUAUCCAAAUAUUGUAGUUUGGCAUCUUUGAAAUGCUAAGUUGUAGCUUCCACUUUUGUAUUUUCCACAUGUAACUAUUAUGUAGCAAAAUCUCACACCUCUCAAUAAGAUUGUGUAGUCCUUUUCCAUUGUGUAGCCCUUUACCAUUAAUCUCUUCAACAUAUGUAAAUCCUCUUCAUAAAGUAUUGUGCUAAUUUAUUCUCUUUUUCUUCUUCCAA